rnacentral:misc_RNA from 1 species
AGAUAAUUGCUAUAUCACAAGGAAAACAAUAAACUUAUGGCAGAUGACCAGGCCAGAGUUGCUCUAGUUUGCACCGCAGAUGAACCAUCAAAGUAUAGUAAAACUUCAAUUCACAUAUUCAUUAAAUUUUAAUAUUGCAAUGAUCUCACUAACCAUGAAAAAAUUGUAUACAUGGAUUCUUGUAAACUGCUAAUUCAUUUACACACGUAUGCAAUAUAAAUAACAGUCUGCCCCUAAAACUGCUCAUCCCAUUUGGAUUCUGUUUUCGUGGACGAACAACCUACUUUCCACUCUUACCAUAGCCGUCUCGUAGAGUCACAGUGCGAUUAAAGACGAGCUUAUCAGGUGUGGAAUCCUUGUCAACGACAAAAUAGCCAAGGCGUUCGAACUGGAAUCUUUCCCCAGCAGCGGCAUUUUUAAGUGAUGGUACAGCAUAUGCAUUGGACAUUACCACCUUGGACCGUGGGUUCAGAUCGGAAAGCCAAUCAUCAAGUUCAGCAGGAUUCUCUGAAUUAAACAGUUUGUCAAACAAUCUGACUUCCACCUUUAGUGGAUCAACCCCUGGGGAAGGUUCAGCAACCCAGUGCAGAACCCCCUUAGGUUUCGUCUUCUUGGUAGGAUCAUAUUCAGCCCGAAUCUCAAUAAUAGUCUCGUUAUCAUCAGCUAGGACCACUUCCGUACACUUUAUAGGGAAAGCAUACCUGCACAAUAGUAGUAUCCUCUAAUGUUGAUGCAACUUCCUAAUAACUGGAUUGUCAUUCUGAGAUCAAAUCUACUCUAAUGUUGUGCUUGGAUGGGGACUCAAAUGAAGGGAUCUUUUAUAUGAAUUUUCAAUUAAAUUUGUACAAUGAAGUUCAAUUCACUUUUUAAUUGAUUAUAAUCACACGUGGACGAUAACUUAUUUGAUCGGAUUUCAAAUCAUCUUUUAUAGAUAUUUCAAAUCCAACCUCAAAUAGGUUUUCUUAAUCCACAUUAAUAACGUAACUUCUAUUCAUGAUUCAUGAACCUAAUCAAUAAAAAAAAAUAGAAGGAAAAAAAAAUCUAUUUUACAAUAAAAAAUCCAAAUCUAAUUUCAAAUCUCUCCAUCCAAACACAAAAUACAUGCAUUUGAAUCAGUAUACCUGAGUAGGACAGAUUUACCGGGUGCAAGCCCAUAGUAAUCCUUUGAAUCUUUCAUCCGGAAAUCAGACUGUUCAAUGUAUACAACAUUGGAAAAUGGAACCUGAAGGAAGGGCAGUUGAAGAAAAAAUGCAACUGAUCACAAAGAUUAAAAUUAAGGUACAAGUGUCAGACCAGAAGCAGUUUGCAACUCAGGUACGUUAUCUAAGCUCAUGCCAGGCCACCAAAAGCCAGAUCAGACAGUUAAAAGGGGGAACAGGGCUAAUGUGGCUAAAGAUUUUUAGUUUCAAGCUGCAAUGCACUCUUCGAAAGAAAUAUUAUCUUAAAAAAAAAGCUGUGCCUAACUUUCAAUCCUCACAUUUAGCAAGUUUGAACUGGCUUUAGAAAAGACCUAGAUUGUAAGCCCAGUCUCAAUGAUAUGGGAUCAGAGCUAUUAGCUUAUCCAAAGCAAAAAAUCAAAUGUUUACAUUUGUAAAUAGUUGAAAUAUGAAUACUUGUGCUCUAAUUGCGUUAGCACUUAGCGCAGGCUAAAACUUGCACUAGGAUACGUCAGGGCCCUAACUAGGCAGAGUUGCAACCCUAUCAACAACAGCUGUUAAGAAGCAAGAUAUGUUGUGGAGACGUUUCAAAAUUGGACAAAACUAUUGCCUAAUAGAAAUCUGAAACUGUGGCUUGAACCAGAAUUAUAUAUUCACCUUGUAAAAAGCAGUAGUAUCAUCAGUUUGAGCAUCGGGCCAUUUCUUUGCCUCAAGAUCCAUAAUGGAACCAGAUUCUAGGUUGUUAAUGACCACCUUUAGGGGAUGCAGGACAACCAUUGUACGAGAGGCUGUUUUGUUAAAUUCUUCUCUUAUGUGAUACUCAAGGCGAUCCAAGCGUAUCAAACUACCAUCACUUCUAGUGAUUCCAAUUCCUCGGACAAAAGCAUUUAUCGCAGUUGAAGUUACACCCCUUCGCCUUAAACCAGCUAGUGUCAUAAGUCGGGGAUCAUCCCAACCAUCAACAUAUUUCUUUGUCACCAAGAAAUUUAAUUUACGCUUUGACAUAACAGUAUUUGUAACAUUCAACCGUGAAUAUUCCCACACAUAAGGCUGAUAAAUGCCUAAUGCAUGUAACAACCAAUAAUAAGAAGCACGUCGUGUCUCAAAUUCCAAUGUACACAGCGAAUGAGUAAUAUUCUCAAGAGAAUCCACAAUGCAGUGAGCAUAAUCAUAACUUGGAUAGAUGCACCACUUGUCUCCUGAAUGUGGAUGGGGAGUAAACUUGAUUCUAUAAGCAAUGAGAUCAUACAUAUUAAAAUUAUCACUUUGCAUGUCUUGCUUCAUUCUGAGCGUUGCCUUUCCUUCUUCAAUCAUGCCUCGUCUCAUUUCAUCAAAAAGUUUCAAAGACUCUGCAAUAGGUCUAUCCCUCCAAGGACUGUUCAUCUUCUUUUCUCUGUAUUCCUUGAUCUCAUCAGGCGUCUGGUGAUCAACAUAUGCAUGACCCCUUCGUAUCAGCUCAACAGCUAAAUCAUGGAGAUCUUGGAAAUAAUCACUGGUGUAAGUGAUCUUGAAAGGUUUCCAACCCAUCCACUCGACAAUCUCUUCAAUGUGAUCAAUAUACUCCUUCUUUUCAGCCUCAGGGUUUGUAUCAUCAUACCUAAGGUAGCAGCAUCCAUCUUGCUCUUUUGCCAAACCAAAGCUAACAAACAUUGCCUUUGCAUGACCAAUGUGUAGAUAACCAUUUGGCUCAGGGGGAAAGCGAGUAAAAACUUUCCCCUUUGUUGCUUUCAGGUGUUUAUCAAGCAUUUCCUUUGUGUUGCAACAUCUCAAAACAGAGUUAUCACUGAAGAAUAUUUCAGUAUGCACCUUGAAAUUUUCAUCAGGAUUGGGAAAUAUCAGAAAUGGAUUAAGAUCUUCCUCAGCCGGCUGCACUGGAUUAUCAUCAGCAACUUUUUUAUCCUCAACUUUAGCAGGCUUUUCCUUCUUCUGCUUCGAGGGCUUCUCAUUAUCAGCUGCAGUCCUUUCACCAAGUAAUUCAAAUAAUUUUGCAUCUAUGAGUUGCUUGACAAUCUUUGGAUCAGCCCACGGAAGUCUCUUGCGAACAUGCGCAAAUAGAUCGCCCACAUUUGUUCUAUAACGUAGCUCCAAAAUUGAUUCCUUAUUCUGUUCAAAAACUUCAUUAACAGUCUGCUCAAUAUCUUCUACAGAGACCUCAACACCAACACCACAUGCUUCUUCAAAUUCAUUCAACUUAAAACUCUCUGAAGCAGUUUUUGAUAAAAAUGAAAAUGCAGCUUCUAGCUGGGCUGGGGUUUUAAUCUUCAAGGAGACAAUAUAUCCCAGCAAAGUAGGUCGAUGGAUGAGGGCAUUAGCUGGGUACUUUGUAGCAACCGUGUAAAGGAGGUUUCCAAUUGUUCUACUGCAUCCCUCAGUGACACCCGCCUCGUGAAUGACGGCUGUGAGAUUGGUUGUGACCUUGUUGUUGGCGAUGGUGUUUCGCGCGGUUCUCUCAUCGAGACCGAUUUUCAAAAACAACUCCAAUGGCGUACCAGAGCUCUCUUCAUUCACCACCAUUGAUACAGAGAGAGGACAAAACCAGUGUUACAAGCGAGUGAGCAGGCGAUUUGUGGGCGUGAGAGAAAUGUGAGGCUACUAUGAAGAAGAUGGUAAAACCCUAAUUAAGCCUCCAAGUGAAACAAACUAGAACUAGAAUGAACGAUGAAUCUAUUAGCGUUUUUGAGAUGUUCAAAAGAUUCUGUUGAGAUUUAGAUUCUUUGGACAACACAGCAGCAUGAAUUUUUCCUAAUUUCCUUUUUUUCUUAAUUUUUAUUAUUCUUUAAGACUUGGAAACCAAGCAAAGUUUCUG